rnacentral:rRNA from 1 species
UACGGGGGGGGCAAGCGUUGUUCGGAAUUACUGGGCGUAAAGGGCUCGUAGGUGGCCAACUAAGUCGGACGUGAAAUCCCUCGGCUUAACCGGGGAACUGCGUCUGAUACUGGAUGGCUUGAGUUCGGGAGAGGGAUGCGGAAUUCCAGGUGUAGCGGUGAAAUGCGUAGAUAUCUGGAGGAACACCGGUGGCGAAGGCGGCAUCCUGGACCAAUAUUGACGCUGAGGAGCGAAAGCCAGGGGAGCAAACGGG